UUUUCAGUUGGUGUCUUUCUGGAAUUUCGAUCUUCACUUCACUAUCCACUUUCAAAAAUUUGAAACUCGCUCGACUCUCAAGUCUCAACCGCACUCACCUUCAACAAGUACCGUGACAGAUCUAAGCAUCUACUGCUUCACAUUCUUCUUUCAUGAUCUCGGGGCUAAUAGGGCACCAUUGGCGACAUGAAUUUGCAAAUUCUAUGACUGUUUUUGGUUUAUUGUUUCUGUCGUGGCUGUAAAUGGAGUUCACUGAAGCUUAUAAACAGACCGGGCCGUGUUGUUUUUCACCUAACUCACGUUACAUAGCUGUGGCUGUCGAUUAUCGUCUCGUCAUCCGGGACACUCACUCGUUCAAGGUUGUGCAGUUGUUUUCAUGCUUGGAUAAGAUAAGCUAUAUCGAAUGGGCACUUGAUUCUGAAUACAUUCUUUGUGGUCUUUAUAAAAGACCAAUGAUACAGGCAUGGUCACUGACCCAACCUGAAUGGACAUGCAAAAUAGAUGAAGGGCCUGCUGGCAUUGCUUAUGCUCGGUGGAGUCCAGAUAGCCGUCACAUACUUACUACAUCAGAUUUUCAGCUGCGAUUAACAGUUUGGUCUCUACUGAACACAGCGUGUGUUCAUGUGCAAUGGCCCAAGCAUGCUUCCAAGGGGGUCUCUUUCACCCAAGAUGGGAAAUUUGCUGCCAUUUGUACUAGACGUGAUUGCAAGGACUAUAUAAAUCUGCUCUCAUGCCAUUCUUGGGAGAUAAUGGGUGUUUUUGCUGUUGAUACAUUGGAUUUGGCUGAUAUUGAAUGGUCGCCUGAUGAUAGCUCCAUCGUGAUGUGGGAUUCACCUAUGGAAUAUAAGGUUCUUAUUUACUCUCCGGAUGGAAGGUGUCUAUUUAAGUAUCAAGCAUAUGAAAGUGGACUUGGAGUAAAAAGUGUUUCAUGGUCUCCGUGUGGCCAGUUUCUGGCUGUGGGUAGUUAUGACCAGAUGUUGCGGGUAUUGAGUCACUUGACUUGGAAAACAUUUGCUGAAUUUAUUCACCUAUCAACUGUUCGUGCUCCUUGUUUUGCUGCUGUUUUCAAGGAGGUAGAUGAACCAUUGCAGCUUGAUAUGUCUGAAUUAUGUUUGAGUGAUGAUUUUAUGCAAGGCAGUUCUGAUGCUCCAGAUGGACACUUCAGAGUUAGGUACGAGGUUAUGGAAGUACCAAUUACUUUGCCUUUUCAGAAGCCUCCUGUAGACAAACCAAACCCUAAGCAAGGAAUUGGUCUUAUGUCAUGGAGCAGCGAUAGUCAAUAUAUUUGCACUCGUAAUGAUAGCAUGCCAACUGCUCUUUGGAUUUGGGACAUACGUCGUCUUGAACUUGCUGCCAUCUUGAUGCAGAAGGACCCUAUUCGAGCAGCAGUAUGGGACCCAACAUGCGUGCGUCUUGUUCUUUGCACUGGAAGCUCUCACUUGUAUAUGUGGACCCCCUCUGGUGCCUACUGUGUGAGUAAUCCGCUACCACAGUUUAACAUAACUGAUCUGAAAUGGAACUCAAAUGGAAGUUGUCUUCUCCUCAAAGACAAAGAGUCAUUCUGCUGUGCUGCUGUUGAUGUGCUGCCAGAAUCUAGUGACUAUAGCUCAGAUGAUUAAAGCAAUAUUUCAUGCCAUAACCUGGAUGACAUGCAACUAUUGGAAAGAAUGACAAUCUCAAAGAUUUGCUACAUGGGGAAUCUGAUUCCAUGACUCAUUUGUUUUUCACUCUUUCUGCUUCUGGCCUCUCCUGGACAUUUGACCUGAAAUAGGUGGUUCAAUAGACUUGGAAAAUAGUCAUAGCUUCUGUGCAUUUCCUAUUGAAAAUUCUUCAAUGCUUGUUGCCCUGCCAACAGACAAGUUCUUGGUGGGAUUGGGGCCAACAUGUUCGUUCUGUGAAAGAGUCUGGUGCAGUUGACAUUUAAGGCACUCGACAUAAGUAUCUUGUAUUGUAUCUACCCAGUUUUUGCCUAACUUUGAAAGAGUCGAAGCAGAAAUUGAAGUGUCGGCAUGCCUGUCAGAAUGUAUAAGUACAUAAAUACAAUCAAAUCUUGUUAAGUAUGAAAUGCUGACCUUAUGAUGAUUAAAAAAGAAUUGAAGUAGUUGGGUUACUUAUUUCGAAGUAGAGUUUGAAAAAUGUGCUGAAGCCUCAAGGUCAAGCUUUUCCCACCCAUCUCAAUAUUCACCAAUUACAUACUUCUUCGGGAAACACACCAAGUUAGAAAAUAGUAGCACUAUUCUUUAUGUUUAUGUUUAAGAG